rnacentral:rRNA from 1 species
UACGGGGGGGGCAAGCGUUGUUCGGAAUUACUGGGCGUAAAGGGCUCGUAGGUGGCCAACUAAGUCAGACGUGAAAUCCCUCGGCUUAACCGGGGAACUGCGUCUGAUACUGGAUGGCUUGAGAUUGGGAGAGGGAUGCGGAAUUCCAGGUGUAGCGGUGAAAUGCGUAGAUAUCAAGAGGAACACCUGAGGUGAAGACGGGUUGCUGGGCUGACACUGACGCUGAGGCGCGAAAGCCAGGGGAGCAAACGGG